GAUGAACGCUAGCGGGAGGCCUAACACAUGCAAGCCGAGCGGUAUUGUUUCUUCGGAAAUGAGAGAGCGGCGUACGGGUGCGUAACACGUGUGCAGCCUGCCUUUAUCUGGGGGAUAGCCUUUCGAAAGGAAGAUUAAUACUCCAUAAUAUAUUGAACGGCAUCGUUUAAUAUUGAAAGCUCCGGCGGAUAGAGAUGGGCACGCGCAAGAUUAGCUAGUUGGUGAGGUAACGGCUCACCAAGGCGAUGAUCUUUAGGGGGCCUGAGAGGGUGAUCCCCCACACUGGUACUGAGACACGGACCAGACUCCUACGGGAGGCAGCAGUGAGGAAUAUUGGUCAAUGGGUGCAAGCCUGAACCAGCCAUCCCGUGUGAAGGACGACUGCCCUAUGGGUUGUAAACUUCUUUUGUAUAGGGAUAAACCUACCCUCGAGAGGGUAGCUGAAGGUACUAUACGAAUAAGCACCGGCUAACUCCGUG
rnacentral:rRNA from 1 species